GGUUCAGGAUGAACGCUAGCUACAGGCUUAACACAUGCAAGUCGAGGGGCAGCAUAACGAAAGCUUGCUUUGUUGAUGGCGACCGGCGCACGGGUGAGUAACGCGUAUCCAACCUUCCCUAUACUAGAGAAUAGCCCGGCGAAAGUCGGAUUAAUGCUCUAUGUUCUUCUUUGAUGGCAUCUGACGAGAAGCAAAGGUUUACCGGUAUAGGAUGGGGAUGCGUCUGAUUAGGUUGUUGGCGGGGUAACGGCCCACCAAGCCUACGAUCAGUAGGGGUUCUGAGAGGAAGGUCCCCCACAUUGGUACUGAGACACGGACCAAACUCCUACGGGAGGCAGCAGUGAGGAAUAUUGGUCAAUGGGCGAGAGCCUGAACCAGCCAAGUAGCGUGCAAGGAUGACUGCCCUAUGGGUUGUAAACUGCUUUUAUGCGGGAAUAAAGUCAGGUACGUGUACCUGUUUGUAUGUACCGCAUGAAUAAGGACCGGCUAAUUCCGUGCCAGCCGCGGC
rnacentral:rRNA from 1 species